rnacentral:rRNA from 1 species
GAUGAACGCUAGCUACAGGCUUAACACAUGCAAGUCGCGGGGCAGCAUGGGGGUUGCUUGCAAUCCCCGAUGGCGACCGGCGCACGGGUGAGUAACGCGUAUCCAACCUGCCCUUCACCACGGGAUAACCCGGCGAAAGUCGGACUAAUACCGUAUGUUGUCCAUUGACGGCAUCCGAUUUGGACGAAAGGCUUGGCGGUGAGGGAUGGGGAUGCGUCCGAUUAGCCAGACGGCGGGGUAACGGCCCACCGUGGCUACGAUCGGUAGGGGUUCUGAGAGGAAGGUCCCCCACACUGGAACUGAGACACGGUCCAGACUCCUACGGGAGGCAGCAGUGAGGAAUAUUGGUCAAUGGGCGUAAGCCUGAACCAGCCAAGUAGCGUGCAGGAUGACGGCCCUAUGGGUUGCAAACUGCUUUUAUGCGGGGAUAAAGUGGCCCACGUGUGGGCUUUUGCAGGUACCGCAUGAAUAAGGACCGGCUAAUUCCGUG